GAAAAGAGAGCGAGAAUUGGUA
rnacentral:siRNA from 1 species